GGGGCAAGAUGGGAUUUU
rnacentral:miRNA from 1 species